rnacentral:tRNA from 1 species
CCCCUGAUGGUUUAGUGUUUAAUACUUGGUGCUUUCAAUGCUGCAGCCCAGGUUCAAUCCCUGGUCUGGGAA